GGAAGAGUGGCUGAGCGGUCGAAAGCGCGGCUCUCGAAAAGCCGUAGGGGAGCAAUCCCCUCGUGGGUUCGAAUCCCACCUCUUCCG
rnacentral:tRNA from 1 species